ACAACACAGUACCUGGAAUGUAUUGAUGGAUAACCGGAUAGAUGGAUAAAUAGAUCAUUAAUGGAUUGCCUGAAAGUUCUCAGAUCUGGAAGCUCUCUCCUCUCUUCCUCUCUUUUCACCUUCCCAUUCCCUUCUCUCUCUACCCCUUCCUUCCCCUUCUCUUCUUUCCUCUCUUCUCCCCUCCCCUCCCCUCCCUUCAUCUCCUAUCCUCUCCCCUCCUCUUUUCUUCUUUCCUCUUCUUUCCCCUCCACUCUCUUCUCCUCUUCUCUUUUCCUCUCCCCUCCCCUCUUCCCUCCUCUCCUGUCCUUUCUUCUCCUCUCCCCUCCCUUCUUCUAUAAUCCUUUCCUUUCCUCUCCUUUCCCCUCUCCUCACCUCCCCUUCUCUUCUCUCUCUCCACCCCCUCCCCUCCUCUCCAUUUUUUUCCUCCUCUCUCUACUCCCUUACCCUGCUCUCCCUCUCUCUCCUGUUCUCUCCCUUCCCAUCUUCUUCUUUUCUCUCUUGUCUUCUUCUCUCUUUGCCUUUUCUCUUGUCUUCUCCCCUCCACUCUCUUUCUCUCCUCUUCUCUCUUCUCUUUUCCUCCCAUCUCUCCUUCCCCUCUCCCCUACCCUCUUCUCUCCUUUCUUCUCCUCUCCCCCCUUUCUCUCUGAUCCUUUCCACUCCUUUCCCCUUCCCUCCUUUCUCCCUCUCCUCUCCUUUUCCCUCUUCUCUUUUUCUCUCUCCUCUCCUCUCCCCUCAUCUCUUAUUUUCUUCUUAAAAAUGGGGCUAGUGACCUGUUCCUUUAGCUACCUUGGAAGAAAGCGUUUCCAGGAUCCCUUUUCAUGCUGACUACAAAAGCCCUUCACAUGAAGUGUACCCUACAGAGACGUAGCUUCAUUAAGUCUCUAGAAUGCCAUCAACAGGGAAGGCAAUUCUGCAGACCGCUCAUUUUUUUUUUUUGAGUCUGCUUUACAGCUCAUAUUAUCUGUUGCUAUUCUCACUGAUCACAAUAAAGAAGGGGAAAGGAGAUGGGUCA
rnacentral:lncRNA from 1 species